GACGAACGCUGGCGGCGUGCUUAACACAUGCAAGUCGAACGGAAAGGCCCUGCUUUUGUGGGGUGCUCGAGUGGCGAACGGGUGAGUAACCCGUGAGUAACCUGCCCUUGACUUUGGGAUAACUUCAGGAAACUGGGGCUAAUACCGGAUAGGAGCUCCUGCUGCAUGGUGGGGGUUGGAAAGUUUCGGCGGUUGGGGAUGGACUCGCGGCUUAUCAGCUUGUUGGUGGGGUAGUGGCUUACCAAGGCUUUGACGGGUAGCCGGCCUGAGAGGGUGACCGGCCACAUGGGGACUGAGAUACGGCCCAGACUCCUACGGGAGGCAGCAGGGGGGAAUAUUGCACAAUGGGCGGAAGCCUGAUGCAGCAACGCCGCGUGCGGGAUGACGGCCUUCGGGUUGUAAACCGCUUUCGCCUGUGACGAAGCGUGAGUGACGGUAAUGGGUAAAGAAGCACCGGCUAACUACGUG
rnacentral:rRNA from 1 species